AUUGAACUCUAGCUGGAUGCUUUACACAUGCACGUCGAACUAGUGUCUGACGGGUGAGUACUAUCUCGGAACGUGCCCAGUAGCGGGUGAUAACUACUCCAACGAGUGGCUAUUACCGCAUACUCUUGGAGCGGCCCAUAUCGGAUUAGCUAUUUGGUGGGGUAAAGGCUCACCAAGGCAACGAUCCGUAGCUGGUUUGAGAGGACGACAAGCAACACUGGGAAUGAGACACGGCACAGACUCCUACGGGAGGCAGAAGUGGGGAAUUUUGGACAAUGGGGGAAACCCUGAUCCAGCCAUCCCGCGUGUAUGAGAAGGCCUGCGGGUUGUAAAGUACUUUUGGCAGAGAAGAGGUAGAUGCAGAAUAAGAACCGGCUAACGACGUGCCAGCAGCCGCGGUAAUUC
rnacentral:rRNA from 1 species